CCUACGGGUGGCAGCAGUGGGGAAUAUUGCACAAUGGGGGAAACCCUGAUGCAGCGACGCCGCGUGAGUGAAGAAGUAUUUCGGUACGUAAAGCUCUAUCAGCAGGGAAGAAAAUGACGGUACCUGACUAAGAAGCCCCGGCUAACUACGUGCCAGCAGCCGCGGUAAUACGUCGGGGGCAAGCGUUAUCCGGAUUUACUGGGUGUAAAGGGGUGGUAGACGGCAGCGAAAGUCUGAAGUGAAAUCCCAGGGCUUAACCAUGGAACUGCUUUGGAAACUGUGCAGCUGGAGUGCAGGAGAGGUAAGCGGAAUGCCUAGUGUAGCGGUGAAAUGCGUAGAUAUUAGGAGGAACACCAGUGGCGAAGGCGGCUUACUGGACUGUAACUGACGUUGAGGCUCGAAAGCGUGGGGAGCAAACAGGAUUAGAUACCCGGGUAGUC
rnacentral:rRNA from 1 species